rnacentral:rRNA from 1 species
UUGCCCAUAUUCCUACGGGAAGCAUCACCAUAUUCUUUUGCGCAACAGCAGUAAGUAAUAUUGCGCAAUGGCAGAAAGUCUAAGGGAGUAAUACCAUGUUAAAGAUGAAGGCCUUUUGGGAAGUAAAGUUAUAGGACGAGGGAUAACUAUGAUAGUACUUAAUGAAUAAGUGACAGCAAACUAUGUGCCAGCAGCUGCGGUAAUACAUAGGUCGCGAGCAUUAUUCGGAUUUAUUGGGCGUAAAGCAAGCGCAGGCGGACGAGUAAAUUUUUUGUUAAAGGCACCUACUCAAUAAUUGUUUGCUCAGAAUUAUCCUUGUUCAGAAUUUGGUAGGGAGAUUCGGAAAUUAACAUGGAACGGUGGAAAGGGGAGAUAAUCUUAAGAACCCCCGAGGCGAAGGCGGAGACUUUGGCCAUAAAUGGCCCUUAGGCCUGAAAAUGUGGGGAACCAAAGGGAUUAGAUUCCCCCGUAGUCCCCCCCGUUAACCGAUGGGUAUUAAAUAUUAGGGCUUUAGCUUUAGUGCUGUAGCUUACGCGUUAAAUACCCCGCCUGGGUAGUACAUAUGCAAAUAUGACUCAUGAUCGAG